AACGAACGCUGGCGGCAUGCCUAACACAUGCAAGUCGAACGAGACCUUCGGGUCUAGUGGCGCACGGGUGCGUAACGCGUGGGAAUCUGCCCUUAGGUACGGAAUAACUCAGGGAAACUUGAGCUAAUACCGUAUAAUGACUCCGGUCCAAAGAUUUAUCGCCUAAGGAUGAGCCCCGCGUCGGAUUAGCUAGUUGGUGAGGUAAAAGCUCACCAAGGCGACGACCCGUAGCUGGUCUGAGAGGAUGAUCAGCCACACUGGGACUGAGACACGGCCCAGACUCCUACGGGAGGCAGCAGUGGGGAAUUUUGGACAAUGGGCGCAAGCCUGAUCCAGCCAUUCCGCGUGCAGGAUGAAGGCCCUCGGGUUGUAAACUGCUUUUGUACGGAACGAAAAGCGCUGAGUUAAUACCCCGGCGUCAUGACGGUACCGUAAGAAUAAGCACCGGCUAACUACGUGCCAGCCGCCGCAGUAAU
rnacentral:rRNA from 1 species